rnacentral:misc_RNA from 1 species
GAUGAAGAACGUAGCGAACUGCGAUAAGUAAUGUGAAUUGCAGAAUUCAGUGAAUCAUCCAGUCUUUGAACGCACAUUGCGCCCCCUGGCAUUCCGGGGGGCAUGCCUGUCCGAGCGUCAUUGCUGCCCUUCAAGCCCGGCUUGUGUGUUGGGUCGUCGUCCCCCCCGGGGGACGGGCCCGAAAGGCAGCGGCGGCACCGCGUCCGGUCCUCGAGCGUAUGGGGCUUUGUCACCCGCUCGAUUAGGGCCGGCCGGGCGCCAGCCGGCGUCUCCAACCUUCUAUUUUACCAGGUUGACCUCGGAUCAGGUAGGGAUACCCGCUGAACUUAAGCAUAUCAAUAAGCGGAGGA